GGGAACCAUAUGCAUGCAACCAAAAUAAGAAUGUACAAAGCAAGAAAUCAAUUUCUGCAUGCUACAGCUGAAUAAGGAAACAGCAUUGGCAAACACAAGUAAACGAGUAGGCGCAGCAUCAAUUAACAUAGGACACAGUAAAGAAGAAAUACAGCUCCGCAUCAAUGAGAUUCUGCAGAUGACAUGGUUGCUGAUUUCCCCUCAACCCGGCUGACUCUGUUCCUUAGUUUCAGCUCUCCCUCGGUAACCUUUCGGUGCUGGUGAGGAAGCGGAUCGAGAUCUAGCAUCCGCGUCGACAUCCUCGCAACCUCAGCCACCGCAGCAUCUCUCACCUCCGGAUCAUCAUCAGCAAGCUCCUCAUACGCCGCCUCAAACGCCUCCUGCCAGAACCGUGGCAGACGGAUCCGGCGUCCAUUGGUGUACACAUCCCACAUGUGCCGCACAACUUUCUCCCUCUCCUCCAUCUCGAGGACGUCGAGAUCGUCAUGGAUGGGGGCGUCAAGGUCGUCGGAGAGGCUGUUGAGGUUGCCAGCGGACCACUUGAGCGUGACGGAGCCGGUGAGCAUGGACCAGAAAGCGAGGAGGAUGAUGGCGGCGAGGGCCCAGAACUUGUAGCGGCCUUUGCCGAAGAGGGCGGCGUCGGUGGCGGAGGGCUUGGCGGAGGC
rnacentral:misc_RNA from 1 species